rnacentral:rRNA from 1 species
GAUGAACGCUGGCGGCGUGCUUAACACAUGCAAGUCGAACGGAAAGGCUCCUGCUUGCAGGGGUACUCGAGUGGCGAACGGGUGAGUAACACGUGGGUGAUCUGCCCUGCACUUCGGGAUAAGCCUGGGAAACUGGGUCUAAUACCGGAUAGGACCACAUUUUGGAUGGUGUGGUGGAAAGUUUUUCGGUGUGGGAUGAGCUCGCGGCCUAUCAGCUUGUUGGUGGGGUAAUGGCCUACCAAGGCGUCGACGGGUAGCCGGCCUGAGAGGGUGUACGGCCACAUUGGGACUGAGAUACGGCCCAGACUCCUACGGGAGGCAGCAGUGGGGAAUAUUGCACAAUGGGCGCAAGCCUGAUGCAGCGACGCCGCGUGGGGGAUGACGGCCUUCGGGUUGUGAACUCCUUUCGCUAGGGACGAAGCGCAAGUGACGGUACCUGGAGAAGAAGCACCGGCUAACUACGUG